GGGCUGACUCCCAAGGAGGAAGAAUCUCUAUCUAGAGAUCCCUCCUCUUGGAGCCCUUCUGCAAGCUCAGGACACAGUUUGCUUGUAGAUAUGGUCUCAGGGUGAGCACACUGCAGAAGUCUAAUUAAGAACUGCAAAAGUAUUGACUGGAUACAGAAGAAGUAUUUGCAACAUCUUCUCUGCUUACAAGUGGAAAAUAACAGCCUGUCAUCUCAGCCAUUUGACAAACUAACUGACAACAUCUGAAGCUGACAAAGUGAUAACAUUUUCUGUCUGAAAACCGUAAAUGUGACCAACAAAGAGAUGGCCUACAGAAUUUUAAUACUAGAGAACUGUCACUCAGCAUUUUAUUUUUUUUAUUUUUGACUACAUGGCUCAUUCCAGCAAUGUUUGAUUAAAAAAAUAAAUUAAUCCCUUAAGAGAUAAAGGAAAAGUAGGUCAGCACCUCAUAGAAACAAACCUCAUGAACCUCUAGUAAUAUAUCAGUGAUGAAUUUUCUGUAUAACUGUGGUCCAUAGACAUACUGAAAGAAUAUGCAAGGCAGAUAAGGUAUAUUUUGGUAAGAUUACAGUCCAGCUGAAUCUUUAUGAAGUCCUAAUAAGCUAAUUAUAAUAACUUCAGAUUUCAAAACUGAAACAAGAAUUAUUGUGUACGCUGUGUUAAUAUCAUUAAUAACUCCUCCAGUUCUGUUCUGACAUAGUAUGCCGUACACUGCAAAAAUACAACCUUUACUAAGUACGCAAAGUCUAAGACUGAACUCAUUUUGUACCCCAAAUAGGUUCCUUCUGUAGUACACACUGAAAAACCAAUAGAUUCACUCAAUACUCUGAAGUAUUUUAAUAGGAUAUUGUUGUUUGAUGUUGGUACUAGUACUGCACUACAUUUUCUGCUUUGCUAUUACAAAUCUGUUGGUUUUUUUCCUUCCUUUCUAGACUUAGUUGAAUAUUUGAAACAUAAUGCACGUGAGUAAGAAGCAGAAAAUAAAUCAAGGUUUAGAAAUGAAUACACUAUUAAUUCAGAGUUUUGUGGUCUCUUUUCUGGAACAGCUGUCACAUAUAGGGGUUGUCAGUCAUUUUCAAAACAUUACAAAGUCUUUUGAAUUUCAGUCACAAAUAACCACAUUGUGAUUUACUUACUGAUUUUAAGUACCUUAGUCCUCCACAACUAUGUGAAUCCUUGUUGUGGAUUAACCUGGCAGGCAGCAAAGAAUCAAAGAACCACACAGCCAUCAGCUCACUUCACUCCAUAUGGAGUAAGGGAGAGAAUAUAAAAACAAAACAGAACACAUAGGCUAAGAUAAAAGCUAUUUACUAAGACAAGAAAGGAAAAUAGAAACAAAAAUGUAAUGGAAACAAUGUAAAUAUGCAUUUGCAAUAAAAUUACCUGCCAACAAACACUAAGCUAACAACAUACCAACUGAUGUUCUGCUAGCAAUGCAACAGCUCACCACCACUAGCUGCCACCAAACCAGCCCCUAAGCAACAGUUUACACAGCUGUAUGAUCUUCCACAUUAGGUCACAUAGAAAGGAAUAAUUCCUUGCCUAAUUCAGGCCAGCUGUCUUGACUCUAUCCUUACCUCACCUUACCACAGCAUCAUAAUGGUGGUGGCCCUUCACUGUCAAGUGGCCCACCCCCAAGCACACUCCAUCGCUUAAUAGCAACUAAAACAUCUGUGUACUAUUGACACCAUCUCAGCUGGAUCCUAUGUACUUUGAUUUAGUGUACUUUGGCCUUCCAAAGUUCACUAAAGUUGUAUAUAUAAUGGUGGUAUGCUCUGAAAGCAGACAUCUUUAUUUCUAUAAUUGGUUAUUACAGCACUUAAUAGCAAAACGCACAUAUUUGAAAACUUUACUGACCAGAGUUUAAACAUGUCCCAUUUUAAUCAUUUGAUGAAUCCUGAUGGGUUUCUGUUACAGUACAGAAAAAUUAAAUGUGG
ensembl:lncRNA